rnacentral:rRNA from 1 species
GAUGAACGCUGGCGGCGUGCCUAAUACAUGCCAGUCGAGCGAACGGACGAAAAGCUUGCUUCUCUGAUGUUAGCGGCGGACGGGUGAGUAACACGUGGAUAACCUACCUAUAAGACUGGGAUAACUUCGGGAAACCGGAGCUAAUACCGGAUAAUAUUUUGAACCGCAUGGUUCAAAAGUGAAAGACGGUCUUGCUGUCACUUAUAGAUGGAUCCGCGCUGCAUUAGCUAGUUGGUAAGGUAACGGCUUACCAAGGCAACGAUGCAUAGCCGACCUGAGAGGGUGAUCGGCCACACUGGAACUGAGACACGGUCCAGACUCCUACGGGAGGCAGCAGUAGGGAAUCUUCCGCAAUGGGCGAAAGCCUGACGGAGCAACGCCGCGUGAGUGAUGAAGGUCUUCGGAUCGUAAAACUCUGUUAUUAGGGAAGAACAUAUGUGUAAGUAACUGUGCACAUCUUGACGGUACCUAAUCAGAAAGCCACGGCUAACUACGUG